CCUACGGGUGGCUGCAGUGGGGAAUAUUGCGCAAUGGGCGAAAGCCUGACGCAGCGACGCCGCGUGGGGGAUGAAGGCCUUCGGGUUGUAAACCCCUUUCAGCAGGGACGAAGCGAAAGUGACGGUACCUGCAGAAGAAGCGCCGGCUAACUACGUGCCAGCAGCCGCGGUAAUACGUAGGGGGCAAGCGUUGUCCGGAUUUAUUGGGCGUAAAGAGCGUGUAGGCGGCCAGGUAGGUCUGCUGUGAAAACUCGAGGCUUAACCUCGAGCUGUCGGCGGAAACCAUCUGGCUAUAGUCCGGAAGAGGAGAAUGGAAUUCCCGGUGUAGCGGUGAAAUGCGCAGAUAUCGGGAAGAACACCCGUGGCGAAGGCGGUUCUCUGGGACGGUACUGACGCUGAGACGCGAAAGCGUGGGGAGCGAACAGGAUUAGAUACCCCUG
rnacentral:rRNA from 1 species